CCAUUUUGUAUGCUAGGAGACCCCUCCCCACCAAAGAAAAAUUUUCCAUUUGGUAAUGUUAAGUGAUAGUUCUAAAAACAAAAAUCUAAUGUCAAAGACAGGAUUGACAUGUGGUUUUGGAAUAAUACUUCAAAAUGUAAUAAGGCCAGUAUAACUGUCCCAAAAGCUAUUUUUAAGCUUUCUAGUACAUUUAUUUAUGUGAUACUGCAUUAUGACAUUUUUUUAAAUACAAAAUUUUAGCUCUAGCAUAUACAGAUAACAUUAUUGUAAGUCUUUGUCUACAUAUUUCUAUAUGGGAAAGUCUUUUUUCUCUUCUGGUUGUGUGGAGAUAUAAAUGACCUAUAACUGCAUAAGUUUAAGGUGUGCAAUAUAUCAAUUUGAUAAAUGUAUAUAGUGUGAAAUGAUACCCACAAUGUUUAGUUAACAUCCAUCACCUCACACAGUGAUAAGGAAAAAGGUCUUUUAUGGUGACAUUUUCUUUUAACUUUUUCAUGUUGAAUUUUAAUGUUUAUUUAUUUUUGAGAGAGAGAGACAGAGCAUGAGUGGAGGAGGGCCAGAGAGAGAGGGAGACACAGAAUCUGAAGCAGGCUCCAGGCUCUGAGCUAUCAGCACAGAGCCCGAUGUGGGGCUGGAACUUACAAACCAUGAGAUCAUGACCUGAGUCAAAGUCGGAUGCUCAACCGACUGAGCCACCCAGGUGCCCCUUUCAUGUUGAAUUUUAAGAAAAAAGGAGUGUUGAGCAUUUUGCCAUGAUGGUUUCCUUGAAAUUCAACAACUGAAUAUACAAGUAUUGUAUAUUUAUGUUUUUAAGUAUUAUUUUGAGAGUAUGAGUAGGGGAGGAGUCGAGACAGGGAAAGAGAAUCCCAAGCAGGCCCUACACUGUCAACGCAGAGCCCAACAUAGGGCUUGAACUCAAUGAACCAUGAGAUCAUGACCUGAGCUAAAAUCAAGAGUCAGAUGCUUAAAUGACUGAGCCACCCAGGCACCCCUCCUAGUGCUGUAUAUUUAAACCCAAAGAGGACCUGAAGUUUAAUUUUUUUUUUUUUUUUUGGUUUAGUUUGAGAGAGAGCACAAGUGGGUUGGGGGCAGAGAGAGAGGGAGACAGAGAAUCCUAAGCAGGCUCUGCACUGUAAGUGCAGAGUCCAGAGUGGGGCUCAAACUCACAACCAUGAGAUCAUGGCCUGAGCUGACACCAAGAGUUGGACACUUAACUGACUGAGCCACCUAGGCGCCCCAAGGAUAUUAAGUUUGAAUCUGAAAUUCAGAGUGGGAAGGUGAAUUAAUUUAGCCACUAAAUAUGUGAGUGACAUAAAGCAAGAUAUUAUCCCUUAGAAUCAAAGUUUAAAUUUUUCUUUAAUGUUUAGUUUUGAGAGAGAGGAAGACACAGAAUCCGAAGCAGCCUCCAGGCUCUGAGCUGUCAGCACAGAGCCCAACGCGGGGCUCAAAACCACACAGACCGCAAGAUGACCUGAGGUGAAGUCAGGCCCGCCCCCCCACCUUUUUUUAAUUUUUUAAUUUAUUUUUUUAAUUUUUAUUUUUUUUUUUUACCUUAGAAUCAAAGUUUAGAAAUUAUAGUGCUAUGGGAUCACCUGGGAAGCUUUUAAAACCUGCAAGCUUGGCAAUUAGCAUACCAUUAUUGCUGACUCCAUCUCUGCAGAAUGGGCACAUGGAAACUUACUGUUCGGUGUUUCUGGCAACUAGUUUUGGAGUUGAGGCUUUAAAAGACAAUAAAGGAGUCUUGUUGCUGUGAGUAUAUUUCAUAUCUCACAGAAUACUACCUUUAUUUGCCUGGAUUAUGAAGUUAUUAGUCUCCUGGCUUUUUUGACUACACUGUGAUAGAUCGCUCAAUAUAUAAUCAAUCUAGAAGUAAUCUUAGAAGCAUGCAUUGUGUGCUUAGUAGUAUUCCUAACAGUGUGGUGACUGUUUAUUAGAUCUGCAAUCAGGAUAAUGGUAGUGUUAUUGAACAUUGACAGUUUUUUAGUUGCUGACUUAAUUCCUGGGUUUGAAACCCAAUUUUCUAGCCCUGAAAACUUAAAAAAACCAAUGUAAUUACUUAAGUAGCAGCAAAUAAGAGCGUCAUGUAUUCAGGAAGGACCACUUAAACUGGAAAAUAUGGCUUAAAAUUACUGCAGCUUUUUUUGAUAACUAACCCUUAACUCCUUUAAUUUUAAAUGUUUAUUUUUGAGAUGGAGAGAAGAGUGUGAGCUGGGGAGGGGCAGAGAGAGAGAGAGACCGAGGACCCCAAAUGGGCUCUGCGCUGACAGCAGAGAGCCCAGUGCAGGGCUUCAGCUCAAGAUCUGUGAGCUUGUGACAGAUUUCAAACUCAUGCUUGCCUAACUGAGCCACCCAGGUGCCCCACCCUUAACUUUUGAGAGAGUCUUUAAACAUGAAUACCACAUUUCUUUUCAGAUUAUUAGCUAACCAUCCAUUCAUUUAGUUAGUGCCUGAAUAUAUGUAAGUACUACUCAUUCUUUUGGGAGAUGGAAGAUGGUGGAGUGUUUUAACAAAGAACCAGUCAUUAUUCCUAGCUAUUUCUGUAGUCAGGUUUCUCAAUUUUUCACCCCACAGAGGAGUGCAGUGUUUCUCAACCAUUUUUAACUCUUGUUUCCUUAUUUAAAAAAAAAUUUCUCCCUUAGUGUGUUUUGAUAGCUUUUAAAUCAAAUACAGCUUUUAACAAAUGGUGAUUUUAGUAUUUCUGGUUGAUAGCUGUCCUUAGGAGAGUUGACUUAUUUCCAUCUGAUAGUUGAGAAUUUUGGCAGCAGUGAUAUUCGUAGAAGAACUGCAGUAGUAUAUCUAAAUUUCAUAAAACUUAAAUGUCAAAAAUAACAUUACCUUAACGAAAUCCCUUGUGAAAAUGUACACUGUCAUAGGAGGGAGCUUACAAGUAUUUGGGGAGAUUGUCAACAAAAAACUUUGUUUCCUGCACUGUACAUUUAUGGCAGCGGGGGGGGGGGGGGGGGCGGGAAUUGUAGAGGAAGAGAAUCCUAAACAGGUUCCAUACUUACAGGACAAAGCCUGAUGCAGGGCUUGAACCCACGAACCAUGAGAUAAUGGGGUCCAGAUGCUUAACUAACUGAGCCACCUAAGCACCCCAAUUUUAUCUUUUAAAGCUUUGUUUAUUUAAUUUCUGUACCCAGCGUGGGGCUUGAACUAAUGACUCCAAGAUCAAGAGUCGUAUGCUCUCUUGACUGAGCCAGCCAUCUGCCCCUGUACAUUUAAUCCCCUCAUCUACCAUUAUUAUUACUAUUAUUAAUCCUUUAACUUGUUUAAUAAGUGAAUUUUUGAGGUUUUGUGGUUCUCUUAAUUAGGAUGUGUUAGUAGGUGAGAAAUGCUUAAAACAUCACUAUUUAGAUUAUUUAGAGUUGAAGAUUCAGAUUGUAUGCCAACCACUGGGGACCACAUGGUUUAUAAUCUGCUUUGUUAUGGGUUGAAUAGCAAGUUAGAGCUUUUAUGGGUAAUAAACUGACAUUUUUGCAUUUUUAAAAAAUGUUUUAAACUUAGAGUUGCAAGAACAAUGCAAAGAAUUUAUAUAUGCUUUACCCUGAUUGGCCAGCUUUUAAGAUUUCACAUACUCUUUAUCAAUUCUAUAUUUUCCUGAACCAUAGGAGAUUGGAUUGCAUACAUCACAACCUUUAUACUUUGGUGUAUUUUUUUUUCCAUUUAAUUUUUUUAUUAUUUUAAUUUAAAUUUUAGUUUAACAUACGUUUCAGUGUAUUUUCAGUGUAUUAUAGCAGUUUUCUUCUAAAUUAGUAGUAUCUAAUCCAAAGUUGUACAUAGUUGCCAUUCCUCUUUAGCCUCCUUUGAUGUUGAACAGUUCCUCAGCUUUAAGUUUGAUAUUUCCUCAUUCAGGAAAUAUACAUAUUAGCUGAAAAGCUGCAAAUGAUGUGUGUGUUCUCACUCUCUCAUCCAGAGGCACAUGAUGUUUAUUUACCCCUUAUUGGUGAUGUCAUUGGUGCCCAUUUUCUCCACUGUGUAGUCACUAUUACUGCUUUCAUAAUUAAUAAAAUAUGAGAUACUUUGCAACUGUAAAAAUCCUAUUUCUCAUUAAACAGUUACCCACUUCA